rnacentral:rRNA from 1 species
CCCCUAGAUGUUCUGGGCCGCACGCGCGCUACACUGAACAGUUCAACAAGUCUUAACCUUGGCCGAUAGGUCUGGGUAAUCUUUGAACGCUGUUCGUGAUUGGGAUAGACCUUUGCAAUUAUGGGUCUUCAACGAGGAAUUCCUAGUAAACGCAAGUCAUCAGCUUGCAUUGAUUACGUCCCUGCCCUUUGUACACACCGCCCGUCGCACCUACCGAUUGAAUGGUCCGGUGAAAUCUCGGGACGGCGGCUUGGUCGCUUGCGUCCGACUGCUGAAACUUGAUUAAACCAUAUCAUUCAGAGGAAGGUGANGUCGUAACA